GUACCCACUUUGUCAGCACAUAUACUGAAAUUGGAAAGACACAGAGAAGAUUAACAUGACCCCUAUUCAAGGAUGACACAGAUUGGUAAAACAUUCCAUAUUAAA